UUAAAAUGACAUUUUAUGCGUACUUUGCGCGAUCGAAAACGGCAUUUUGGUACGAAAUAAACGAGUCCGAAUGCUAUUCUCACGACGCGGCUAUUCUUACGGUAACACCAUGGAGGCUAUGAGUGUUUCAGACGUGCGCCAGUUUUUGAUGGAGCGUAACCUAAGCUCGCUAACCACGACCUUUGAAGCUCUGACACUUACAUGUAGAAGAAAAUUAGUCUGACAGAAAAUCUGAUUGAUGGCGAAGCAUUGCUUUCUGUGAUGGAAGAUCACAUUUUGUUGAAGGAAUUAAUACCUGAAGUGGGGUUGAGAGCAAAACUGAGGCGUAAAAUAAAAAAGAAGACUUGAGAGUUUUACUGAAUGACAUGAACAAAUACUAAUUUCAAUUGUGUUGUAGGGUGGUGUUGAGUUUAAUCUAAAUGUGGUGCUGGUGGGUCUAUUACCUAUUUUAAUUCUGUUGGUGGGGGGUGUAAAAGCAGUUAAAAUUGUGUUGGUGGUGCCCCAUUUUUGGACUGUCGUUCUUGCCCCCCCAGGCCUUUUUUCCUGGAACAGC